rnacentral:rRNA from 1 species
AUACGUAGGGGGCGAGCGUUGUCCGGAAUGAUUGGGCGUAAAGGGCGCGUAGGCGGCCCGGUAAGUCUGGAGUGAAAGUCCUGUUUUUGAGAUGGGAAUUGCUUUGGAUACUGUCGGGCUUGAGUGCAGGAGAGGUAAGUGGAAUUCCCAGUGUAGCGGUGAAAUGCGUAGAGGUUGGGAGGAACACCAGUGGCGAAGGCGACUUACUGGACUGUAACUGACGCUGAGGCGCGAAAGUGUGGGGAGCAAACAGGAUUAGAUACCCUGGUAGUCCACACUGUAAACGAUGAAUGCUAGGUGUAGGGGGUAUCGACCCCUUCUGUGCCGCAGUCAACACAAUAAGCAUUCCGCCUGGGGAGUACGGCCGCAAGGUUGAAACUCAAAUGAAUUGACGGGG